UUAUAUCCUCUGGAAAAAAAGAAACUCAUUUAGAUCUAGUUUUCAUAGAAUUCAAGCCAUAGCCAUUCUUUUAGUGUAGAAAACCGUUGUACAUCUAUGAUUUAUUACCACCUUCAUCCUUCAAAAUCAAGCUCAUUUUCUCACAUGGGCUCUCUCUUCUCUCUCACAUUGGUAAUUCUCUCAUUCAUAUCCAUAGCAUUAAUAAAAACUGAAGCUCAGAAGAUCAAGUCAGCUCGCCUACUCGACCUGCUCAUCCGGGACUACACCUUCAAGGCCUAUGACACACACUUCAGGACAGGAGUUCUACACACUGUAAAUUUACCAGCAAACUUCUCUGGCAUCAUAGUUGACACAGCAAGAUUCAGAUGUGGUAGUCUCCGAAGGUACGGUGCGCAGGUAAAGGAAUUUCAUCUAGACCUUGGUGUAUCUGUGCAUCCAUGUGCUGAGAGGGUCAUGAUAGUUACACAAAACUUGGGUUACAAUUGGUCUUCUAUAUAUUAUGCCAAUUAUGACUUAUCUGGCUAUCAGCUUGUUUCCCCUAUACUAGGCCUCUUAGCUUAUAAUGCCGGUACUGAUGUGAACUUCAGCAACCCUUUUGAGCUUGGAAUUGAAGCUGCAGAAAAACCCAUCAGAAUAGACUUCAGAAAUAUCACAAGGGUGAACAACGAAUAUGGUACAAGGCCAUUAUGUGCUAGUUUUGAAGGUGCCGGCAAAGUGGCUUUAGCAAAGGAGGCUUCACCUUACAUUUGUAUUGCAAAAAGGCAUGGCCAUUUUGGGUUGGUCAUUGAGAAGCCAUCACCAGUGGAGUUGAACAAGAGCAAGAGAGUGAGCCCGUGGAAAGUGGCAGUAGGUAGCUCAGUUGGAUCUGCUUUAGGUGUUUUUCUCUUGGGGCUGCUUCUGGUGGCAAUGUUUGUGAGGGUGAAGAAGAGGUCAAGGAUGGAGGAAAUGGAGAGAAGGGCUUAUGAAGAGGAAGCUUUGCAGGUAUCAAUGGUUGGACAUGUGAGAGCUCCUACCGCAUCAGGCACUCGAACAACGCCAACACUUGAGCAUGAUUUCAAUGGCACACCAUAAAUAUAUUGGCCAACAAGAACAGAGAAUCUGGUAAACAUGGGAAAGCUACACUCUCUAUGAGAUUCCGAAAUCUGGCUGAAAAAAGGUCUUCAAUCUGGACUUGUGCAGAUUAAGGACAAAAAGUAGCAAAGCUUUGGAUCUCCACUUUGAUCGGAUGCAUGCAACCUUUAGAAAAGAAUAGUUUUGAUUUCUAGUCACUUCUGAGAUAAAGGCAAUGUCAUCCCUCAUCCCUUAACACAAUGAUUCUCACCUUUACCUUUCUUUAUUGUGUCAAAGGCAAUUCCAUUGAUGCUUUAAAUUUCAAAACGCUCUUAACCCACCAUUUUCAUUGAAAUUGUCGGUGAAACAAUGCUAUAGGCCUGCAAUGAAUUUAUUACCUAUUUUAUGUGAUAGCUUUUGAAGCCCAUAUAUAGAUAUGAGUUCUACCACUUUCAAGUGAAGA